rnacentral:rRNA from 1 species
GUCGAGGGGUAACAUUUUAGCUUGCUAAAGAUGACGACCGGCGAACGGGUGCGUAACGCGUAUAGAAUCUACCUCUUACUAAGGGAUAGCCCAGAGAAAUUUGGAUUAAUAUCUUAUAGUAUGUUAACUUGGCAUCAAGACAACAUUAAAGGUUACGGUAAGAGAUGACUAUGCGUCCUAUUAGCUAGAUGGUGUGGUAACGGCACACCAUGGCGACGAUAGGUAGGGGCCCUGAGAGGGGGAUCCCCCACACUGGUACUGAGACACGGACCAGACUCCUACGGGAGGCAGCAGUGAGGAAUAUUGGACAAUGGAGGCAACUCUGAUCCAGCCAUGCCGCGUGCAGGAAGACUGCCCUAUGGGUUGUAAACUGCUUUUGUACAGGAAGAAACACUGCUACGUGUAGCAGCUUGACGGUACUGUAAGAAUAAGGAUCGGCUAACUCCGUGCCAGCAGCCGCGGUAAUACGGAGGAUCCAAGCGUUAUCCGGAAUCAUUGGGUUUAAAGGGUCCGUAGGUGGAUAAUUAAGUCAGAGGUGAAAUCCUGCAGCUCAACUGUAGAAUUGCCUUUGAUACUGGUUAUCUUGAGUUAUUAUGAAGUAGUUAGAAUAUGUAGUGUAGCGGUGAAAUGCAUAGAUAUUACAUAGAAUACCAAUUGCGAAGGCAGAUUACUAAUAAUAUACUGACACUGAUGGACGAAAGCGUGGGGAGCGAACAGGAUUAGAUACCCUGGUAGUCCACGCCGUAAACGAUGGUCACUAGCUGUUCGGACUUCGGUU